rnacentral:lncRNA from 1 species
UUGGAAGCCUGGGACAGGACUCGGAGUGGGAAGACUGGGCCAGAGGUCCAGAGAAGAAUUCCCAGCUCCCUGCCAGGGGAUUUGGCUGCAGAAUUCCUUAUGGAGGAGCGAAGUGUCCUUAAAAUGAAGGCUGUUUGGGUUCAUCUGUUUAACCAGCCCAGGCUCAACCAGCAGUUCAGAUCCCCACAGUCAGAACUCAGGCACACUGGGCCUGCUGGCAGGUGAGUUUCCACCUCUGACCAGGUUGAGGCACCAGGCAGCUCUGGAGGCUCAGGAGCUAUAGCUUGGGUCCCAGUGGGAGGAGGCUGGCCUGUCCCCCUCCUCAGCUGGCACUAACAGGCCCCUGACCCAACCUCAACUUCUCUCUUGGGGUCUCAGCCCUCAUGGCAGGGUUGAUGGCCUCAGAGCUACAUAGGACCUACUCACUGGGCCAU